rnacentral:rRNA from 1 species
AUGGACAUGCCGGGGGAGGACGAGUACGUCUACGGCUACGAGUACGAGUUCGACCUGGAGAACCCCUUCACCAGCCCCGCCGAUGAGCCGAUCGCCAGCCUCCUCGACGCCGAGGCCCACCACGCGCCCUCCGUGUCCGCCGCCGCCUCCGCCGUCCGCCGCGACGCCGCCCGAUUCAUCUCCAAGGUGCGGUACGACGGGGAGCUCGCUGUGCACCCGCGGGUGGCCUACCUCGCGCUCAACUACGUGGAUCGCUUCCUCUCCAAGGGCCAAUUGCCGGUAAGAAGCCGAAAGAUGGUGUCUUUCUUUCAAGAAUCUACAAUAUUUCGGUCUGAUCUGACACCCCGUGGUUCUGCCGCGCAGUUCGAGCGCAAGCCAUGGGCGCCGCGGCUGCUCGCCAUCAGCUGCCUCUCCAUCGCCGCCAAGAUGCAGCGCGUCGACGCAAUCUCCAUGGACUACAUCCAAAGGGACGAGGAGUUCAUGUUCGACGCGGUGACCAUCCGGCGCAUGGAGCGGGUGGUGCUGGGCGCGCUGGAGUGGCGCGCGCGCUCCGUUACGCCGCUCGCCUUCCUCGGCUUCUUCCUCUCGGCGUGCUUCCCUCCUCCGCGGCACCCAGCCCUGCUCGACGCCGUCAAGGAGCGCGCCGUCGACCUCCUCCUCCGCGCCCAGCCCGAGGUGAAGAUGGCGGAGUUCUCGCCGUCCGUGGUGGCCGCGUCGGCGCUGCUGGCCGCCGCCGGAGAGAUCGCCGUCGCCCACCUCCCCGCCUUCCAAGCCGCCGUGGCCGCUUGCCCCUUUGUAAAUAGCGAGAAGCUACGGGAGUGCGGCGAGGUGAUGGCGGCAGUCUGCGGCGUGGUCGGCGUCGGCGUCGGCGUCGGACCGGCGGCGAGCGCUGACACGCCGGUGACGGUCCUCGGGCACGGCCACUACCGCAGCGCCAGCUCGGAGAGCGACCGGACCGUCGGAUCGGCGGCCAACGUCGCCGAUGCCAAGAAGCGAUGCAUGGGCCCACCUUCCCAGUGGGGGUAG